ACUUGCCCUUGCUUGGGAAAUAGCUACUCUAGUGAAAAUGGGCUUCCAUAAAGUUUGUUGUUCAACAGUCUUGGGCAGAUGGCCAGGAUAUGUAUUAUAUCCGACUAGCUUCUACUUGGGCUGUCAACCGUCAAACCUGAGACUGGUGUGUUGUUGGGCAAAAGUAAUGAUGACAGUUCACCAGAUAAGAUGAAGGACAGGAGAGAGGCUUUGGUCAUGGAGUCCUCUGACUGACAGACGGAUUGAUACUGAUGUCUGAAUUGGGAAAGACCUUGUAAUCAGCAUUAAAAUUAUACAAGACACAUCUA